GAUGAACGCUAGCGGAGGCUUAACACAUGCAAGUCGAGGGGCAGCGAUAGGGUAGCAAUACUCUGAUGGCGACCGGCAAACGGGUGAGUAACGCGUAUGCAACCUACCCUGUACAGGGGGAUAACCCGGAGAAAUUCGGACUAAUAUCCCGUAAUAAUAUCCGGAGGCAUCUUUGGAUAUUUAAAGUUUCGACGGUACGGGAUGGGCAUGCGUAACAUUAGCUGGUUGGUAAGGUAACGGCUUACCAAGGCUAUGAUGUUUAGGGGUCCUGAGAGGGUGGUCCCCCACACUGGUACUGAGACACGGACCAGACUCCUACGGGAGGCAGCAGUGAGGAAUAUUGGUCAAUGGGCGCAAGCCUGAACCAGCCAUCCCGCGUGCAGGAAGACGGCCCUAUGGGUUGUAAACUGCUUUUCCAGGGAGAGAAACUUACGCACGUGUUGCGUGACUGACGGUACCCUGGGAAUAAGCAUCGGCUAACUCCGUG
rnacentral:rRNA from 1 species